GUGGGUGGGGCUCGCGAUUUGAGUCGGGACUAGCGGAUUCGCCGGAGGCUCUGGUCUCCCAGCAAGAGGACAAAUGUGCCGGGAUGUAUGCAGGCAAGCCAGAAGAGGAGAGUCCAGGACCAGUAAAUCAGGUCAGUAAAUGCACUAUUCUGUCAGGGGCCAAGUUACCACUGAAGAGGUAAGACAAGUGAUGGUUGAGGAUCAUAAAUGUGAUUCAAGGACAGCAGAAAUUACCAAGAAGAAAGGGAAAUGUCUGUCAGAUGUGGCACCAAUCUCUUAGUUUCCCCUUAGUAAUACUCCACUGAGAGUAGUUAGAGAAGCUAGUGGGCCAUUGAGAUGGCAGGGUGCCAGCAGCAUUUGGACCCACAGCUUCUGCAACAUUCAAUGCCAGGGCCUGCAGCUGUGGUGGGUGCAGCAGCCUCAGAGGAUGUGAAGUAGACCUCCCCAGAAGUAUCUAUCCUUUUCAGAGAACACCAGCAGAUUAACAGUCACUUUGGACAUUGGAAGCUGCAGCAAACACCUCAAUAUAAUAAGUUGACACAGGAGCAAAGGGAAUGAAUGGUCCAACCCAUGGAGCAGUCAGGGAAGCUGGUCAGGGAAAAGGCAGGGGAGACACCCCUAAGGGGUCCCCAGGCUAUCUGUGAGGAAUUAAAGGGGUCUGGACUUCCCGUACUGUUGUUAGAAACUAAGGAAAAAUACUACUAAUAAGAUAAAUGUCUGUGGUUGUCUUACAUCUUAGCUGGGUAUGUAGGAAUUUAGGUUAUAUGAAAAUUAUUUAGAAUUAAGCUUUCUUUCUUUUUUUCUUUUUCUUUCCUUUUUCUCCUGGUCACCCAUGGCAUAUAGAGUUCCCAGGUCAAGGGUAGGAUCUGACCUAUGCCACAGCUGCGGCAAUGCCAAAUCCUUUAACUCACUUGCCAGGCUGGGGAUUGAACCAUCCUAUUGUGCCACAGCAGGAACUCUAGAAGUAAGUUUUCUUAAGGAGUCACAAAACUUUUCUUUUUUGUUUUUUAGGGCUGCACCUGUGGCAUAUAGAGGUUCCCGGGCUAGGGGUUGAAUCAGAUCUGCAGCUGUUGGCCUACACCACAGCUGUAGCAAUGUGGAAUCAGAGCCACAUCUGUGACCUACGCCAUAGCUCAAGGCAACAUUGGAUCCUUAACCCACUGAGCGAGGCCAGGGAUUGAAUCUGCAUCCUCAUGGAUACUAGUAAGAUUCAUUUCUGCUGAGCCAUGAUGGGAAUUCCAACACAGGAUUAUUCCAACUCCCUCUCUUUCCCUCAGGGUUUGCUGACUUUACCUAUAAUGUCUUCUCAUGUUGCCUCACCCUAAAAGAAUUAGGACUAUCUAAGGCAGCAUUUAACUGGAAACCCAACUAAGGUUUGUGAGGCUGAACAAAUAAAGUUUUAUUAAAAUUUUUUUUUAAUUUUGAUUUUUCUUUUUUCUUUAAAUUUUGUUCUGAGGUAUUUAUUUUUGAAUAUGCAAAAAUUUUAUUUAUUUAAAUAAUUUUUAUUUUUUCCAUUAUAGUUGGUUUACAGUGCUGAGUAAUCAAUUUUCUACUAUACAGCAAAGUGACCCAGUCACACAUGCAUAUAUACAUUCAUUUUCUCACAUUACCCUCCAUUAUUCUCCAUCACAAGUGACUAGAUAUAGUUCCCAGUGCUACACAGCAGGAUCUCAUAGCUAAUCCAUUCUGAAUGCAAUACUUUAUAUCUAUUAACCCCAGAUUCCCAGUCCAUCCCACUCCCACCCCCUUCCCCUUGGUAAUCACAAGUCUGUUCUCCAAGUCCAUGAGUUUCUUUUCUGUGGAAAGGUUAUUUGUGCCAUAUAUUAGAUUCCAGAUGUGUGAUAUCAUAUGGUAUUUGUCUUUCUCUUUCUGACUUCACUUAGUAUGAGAGUCUAUAGUUGCAUCCAUGUUGCUGCAAAUGGCAUUAUUUUGUUCUUUUUUAUGGCUGUGAGGUAUUCCAUUGUGUAUAUAUACCAUAUCUUCUUAAUCAAUUCAUCUUGUCAGUGGACAUUGAGGUUGUUUCCAUGUCUUGGCUAUUAUGGAUGGUGCUGCAAUGAACAUAUGGGUGCAUGUGUCUAUUUCAAGGAAAGUUUUGUCUGGAUAUAUGCCCAUUAUAGUUGAUUUGCCAUAAUCCAUCAAUUUCUACUGUACAGCAAAGGUUUAUUUCUUACUUAACAGUAAAUCUGGAAUUGUCAUUCUUCUGACCUGGUUUCAAGAGCUCAGUGAAGAGAAACACAAUUGUAGAAAUCAAGUCUGUUUUUGAGACAGGAAGAAGGUAGAAAUGAGAAGGUGGGCCAAGGACUCAGCAGGAGGAUUUUAUGUUAUAUCAAGAAACAAAAGCUCCAGAAGGCUUCCAGUUAUGUUUCCUUGGCC
rnacentral:lncRNA from 1 species